rnacentral:rRNA from 1 species
UGAGGAAUAUUGGGUCAAUGGGCGGAAGCCUGAACCAGCCAUGCCGCGUGAAGGAAGAAGGUCCUAUGGAUUUUAAACUUCUUUUGUCGGAGAGCAAUAAGGGUCUCGUGAGAUCCGAUGAGAGUAUCCGACGAAUAAGCAUCGGCUAACUCCGUGCCAGCAGCCGCGGUAAUACGGGGGAUGCGAGCGUUAUCCGGAUUUAUUGGGUUUAAAGGGUGCGUAGGCGGUCCGGUAAGUCAGCCGUGAAAAGCCCCCGCUCAACGGGGGUCGUGCGUUUGAUACUGUUGGACUGGAAUGCGGAUGCCGUGGGAGGAAUGUGUGGUGUAGCGGUGAAAUGCAUAGAUAUCACACAGAACACCGAUUGCGAAGGCAUCUCACGAAUCCGCAAUUGACGCUGAGGCACGAAAGCGCGGGUAUCGAACAGGAUUAGAUACCCUGGUAGU